rnacentral:RNase_MRP_RNA from 2 species
UCCUCGUGCAAAGAAUCGCAUUCAAAGCUUACGAACUGGGCAUUUCGAUGCUCGUACCAAUAUCUUGCUUUGGGAGAAAGUCCCCGGACGUCCUGGCUUCGUGCCAGGCACUGCGGAAACGCGCUGCCAUAGAAGCACUUCACAGCAGCUAAAGCCCUCUUAACCACCUACCGCUGGGUCCGACCCUCGUUGAACCGUCUGCACUCUUCGGUUUUCCCGCUAUUCGGUCUCUUUUUCAAUGUCAGGACAACUCUGGGAUGACGAUAUGAGUCUCACGUUUUGGCUUUGGAGUUAAGUGAACUGAUUCGGGGGUUAACGUUGAGGAGGUUUCUUGGGGAAACAAUGGGAGUCAGCUGUGGGAAUCUGGUUAAGGAGGUUGCCAUUCGUCGAGAUUCUACAGCUAUGCGAUUGCUCUCCUGUUCUGAAUAUUCAGGGCUGGGCGAGUAACUCGAUGGGGCUUAUUCUUGCGACGAGG